ACUGACAUAUAUAAGUGACAUUCUGAAAUG
rnacentral:piRNA from 1 species